UGGAUUAUGUUAGUAAAGAUUUUGCCUCUGCUCGCUAUACCACUAACCACAAAUUUAGAAUGUAUAGUCUAAGCAGGAAUGUUGUCCAGAAAGGGAAAUAAUAAUUUUGGCAUCAAUGAUGCCCUAAUUUCACAGAUUUGUAUUAGCCUCCUUUCUCUGAGAGCAUCGUCCCCAAUUCCUUACGACAGAUUACAAGAAGAAAGCAGAACUCGAUUCCAGGAUAUAGGAAAGUAUAGAUUUCUCAGGAGGAGAUUCUUGAAAUGAUUAUAUUUCCCUCAAAAAACGGAAUUUUUACCAUAUAAGAUCCAUUAUUUUCAGUUUGAAGUCUACUGAGAAUCAGAGAGAAAAGCAUCCACAAAAUUCAAACAAUUAUUAAUACUAUCUUCUUACAUGUGCUUCUAAAAUGAAUUAGGUUUAUUUUUCACACAAACAUGUAAUGGCUCUUGCUUCUCCCCUCGUAACUAAGGUAUUGUCAUGUCAUUUCUCUUAGCAACUCAGUGGACAUCACGUGAGGUUAAAAUCAAGUCAAUUAAUCACAAUCUUCAGCUGGUUACAGAGACGGGGAGUUUCUGCUUGCCAGAACACCUGCGCUCCUCAAAUGGCCUUGGUGCUUAAUUGUUUCCAGGUGCAGCACAUGCUUGUUUGGGGCUAACUCAGAACUGUGAAUUUCUGCUGCCAGAGGACACACUUUGGAAGUUGGAGUUAACUGGUGACUCUUUCAAGGACUGCUGGCUACAAGGAAAACAAAGGAGUGGUUGGAAGUUUACAAGAAAAGUGAAGAAGAUGGAAGAAAAAUUUUGGGUGCUGAUAAAAAAGAUCCAGUAGAGAGGAAAAUUAAUGGCACAGAAGAGAGUUGGGGGUGAUAUUCUGAACAAGUAGGCAGGGCUAAGAGCUAGGGAACAAAUAGAAAGAUGGAUUUAGAUAGGAUCACAGGUAAUCCAUGUGUAUUGUCAGGCGGUAGAAAAAGAUUUGUGGGUCUGGAUGGAGGUAGGUGAGAACAUAUAGUGAUGGGAAUCUUGAAAGCUUUCUUCUAAUUGUUUCAAUUUCUGAAGUAUAUUCGUAUAUUUUCAUAAUUUGUUCAAAAUCACAUCACUAACAAAGAGAGGAAACAUUCAAACUCAGGAAUUUAUUCAUACGUUUUUAUUAUAAAUAUCAUAGAGUCUGAGAGUAGGCAGAUGUUACAGACCAUGUUGCUAUGGCAAGAUCCAAGAAUACCUCCUUUUAACAGAACCUCCAUUAUUUUGUGGUGCAAAUAUGAACGAAUCUAGGCAUUUGAUCAUAAUUGAUCUAAAACAAUUAUAACAAUUCUCUUCCUCCCUUUCCCAGCAUUUCUUGUAGAUAUGGGUGGUCCAGUUCUGAACAAUGGAGUACAAGUUUGUUACAGAUGUCUCUGGAAAAAUGUUUCCUUCCCCAUUAAAAGAGACCAAUGUGAUCAGCAGUAUCCCUGUCUUACAUUCUCCCCUUAUAUGUGCACUGAACACUUACGAUGGCUGGAGCUAUAGCAGCCAUCUUGCUACAAAAGAAAGUGAAAGAAAAAAAAAAGGCUGUAGUGCUUCUAGGUUGGUGGAUUAGAAAAGAAGAUAGAGCCUAGAUUCCUAAUGGCAUCGUAGGACAGCUGAACUACUUGUAGACAAAUAAAUGGAAAUUUGAUUAAGUUACUGUUAUUUAAAUUCUUGCUGUGUAAUGUAGUUCUAAAUGAUAUGGCUAGAAUUCCAUCAUUCUUUAAACUUCUGGAAAAAAUAAAAAGAACCUAAAGCUAUCAGUUAUGAUAGAAUUCUCAAAAUACAGAUAUUAAUUAUGAAACUACUGAUCUCAUGAUUCUGCUGUGUUCUGAGAAAUGCAAAAUUAGUUGUAAAUUUUUAAUCAGAUAGAAAAUAAAUCUUACCACUAAAUGUUUAAGUAAUGCUUGCCCCCGGUCAUUUAGAAAUGUUAUUACUUUCAUGUACCACUAGCAUAGUAUAUUUUAAAAUUCUUAAACAAAAUUAACUUUGUAUUUGCUUGAAUUACGAGAAAUUAGACAUCAAAUUGAAAGUAAAAGUUUGAAAAAUAAGACAUGUAUCUAAAUGAAACCCAUUUUUUUCAAUGGAAAAUUUCUCUUAAUGCCACUUUAUAGAAUUACGUAGAUCAACUGGCAUGUCAGGAAAAAGCAUUUCCAAGCAUUUUUUUUUUUUUAGGAAGAUUAGCCCUGAGCUAACAUCUACCACCAAUCUUCCUCCUCUUUUUGCUGAAGAAGACUGGCCCUGAGCUAACAUCUGUGCCCAUCUUCCUCUACUUUAUAUGUGGGACGCCUACCACAGUAUGGCUUGCUUGACAAGGGGUGUGGAGGUCGGCAUCCGGGAUCUGAACGAGUGAACGCCAGGCCGCCAAAGUGAACUUAAACACUGUGCCGCCUGGAAGGCCCCUCCAAGCAUAUUUUGAUAGAAGAUUUUAUGAUAUGAAAUUGAAAAAUAAUUAAAAAAUUGAUGCUGGCAGAAUGAAAAGAAGAAAGAUCCUGAGUGCUUCCUGGUUCUGUUGCUCCAUUGAAUUAUCUGCUUCAGAAGGUCCUUUAUUUAUGAUUCCUUGUUAGGAGAGAUGGUUAAGUGGCCAAAUUGGUUAAACCACUUUGGGUGGCAUUCCUAUUCUUGAGAAAGUGUCCUAGCAAAGACCCCUGGGAAACACUGGACUUACCAAUAUUCAGGAAUCUUGUUUGUUUGGAGGGUUCAUUUUAGUUUGCUUUCUGGGUUUUGUUUACUGCAGACCCGCACUAAGCCUUUAACAUGCUAAGGUACAUAUGGAAUUCCCUAAGCAAAGAAGAAAGCAGGUAGCGUUUUGUAAAUUGAUUUGAUCAUGGAAUAGUUAUCUUAGAAGCUGUUCUCCCCACAGACGCUCCCUAAAGCACAUAUUAAAUGGAUUCUAGCAUUCACAGAAGUAACAUUCCAGCCCAGAAACACGAGAAAGGGAAAGAACCCAAAGCAUCUGAAAACCCAGACUUGGGUUUAAAACUUCUCUUCCACUGUUAGCCGUGUAGCUUUAGCCAAGUGACCUGACUUUUCUGAGGCUCUAUUUCUCUGUCUGUAAACUGGGGGAAACAAUAGUACCUAUAUAAGAAUACUACUGGGAGACUUUAAAUGUUGAAAUUUACUGAGUAUGUGGAACAUACUGAGUACUCAAUCAGUGAUAUUUACAGUGGUUGUUUUACUAUCAGCAAUGUUAAUGGAUAUUAUUAAAGUGAUGCUUUGAUAUUA